UCUCCUUCAUCCAGCGCAGGGCGUGUAGCAGGGACCAGCGCCGGUGCUCCAUGAGGAAGGCCAGUGUCAGUGCUGAGCUGCGGCUCCUGCCCAGACUACAGUGGACCAGAACGCGGCCAGCCGGCUCAGCCUUCAGCGCUGUGUUGAUGAACCUGGACGCCAGCGGCAGGGCCUCCACCAGGUCCUGCUGGGCGUCAUCGCUCAGACGCAGCCUCAGUGAAGGGGUCCCUCAGGGGAUUGUGACUCCCCAAACCUCCAAAAGACACAUUCGGUCAUCAUAACCACUUACUUCUUCCUCAGAAACACAAGAAACACAGUCACAAUUGUCCCUCUGCAGUCACAGCCUCCUCACCGACCUGCACCACCGUCCCUGCUGGCUCUUUCUUCCUCACAGCGCCAGGAUGCUCUGUGCUCACUUACAGUAGAAGGUGGGUCAUAUGUCAACUUGGAAUGGAAAAGAGAACUGAACCCAAAGCUCAUUUCACCACUCGUGCCACCAACACAGACCACUAACACGGGCGUGAGCACUGGGCAUCACUUCAGGCUCAUGGUCUUUACCUUCACAUCCUGCUCUGGAGAGGGAGGUGCCACACCAGGAAGCCAUCAGUGCACUUGCACAACAAUGUCAAGUGAGACUGGGAUUACAAAAGUAAAAUUCCGGAACUUUGUUGAAAGUGAAAGUACUCUUUAUGCUUACAGAGUGCCAUAUUAAUGCCAAAGAAGUAAUUUAAU